UCCUGGCAGCGUGUGUGCUGAGUUGGAAGGGCUGCAGAAGUGGGUCACGCUCACCCAACUGGAACUCGAAAGACUCAUAGAGAGCAAGCACUGGACAAUGGCCUGGUGUCCAUGAUGUAUCCCUGCCUGUCGUUACUAAUCCUACUCAGGGCCAAGCUGGAGAGAAACAGGACAUUCCGUUGGGCUAGAGAGGGAGAACCACUCAGCUGGCUUAAUGAAAGACACGGGUGUGGGACUUUGUCAGCAGAUGCAAGCCUGGAGCCACCACACAGCAGAGAGGAGUAGGAAACCAGAGUAUGGAAGCCCCUUCCUCUCCUGCACCAAAUCACUCACAGCACCAUGAUGGGCAGCAGUAGAAGGAUUAGAAACCACACCGCCCUGAUAGGAGUUGAACUUUUCUUCAACUGGCUCUUAAGCUGACAUGAGAUUGCGCUAGUUGGAAGAUACCAAGAUACUCUUAAAAGAGAAGAUGAAGUUCUCAUGUUUCAACCCCUAUUACUAUUGACUGUCAACUUCCCAAAAGACCCCAGAAAAACAUGUUAAUGGAACAAAACUAAGUUUAUUAGAUUUACUGUAGUAUAAGAGAAAACCACCUUGGUAGAGUCUUGAUAGUGCCUCAGGUUGACAAAGUCAGGGUCUGCACUGGGGGACUUCUAAGGUAGCUUUUGCAAGGUGGGGAGUAGCUUGGGACUGGGCAGGGUUUCUACCCUAACAAUUCUCAAUUGGUAAGCCCCGCAAGGCCAAGGAUCCUGAAGCAAAUCUAGAUAAGAAAGAUACUGGAUUUUAUAAGCUAGCUAUUUUAGUGGAUUUACUGCCUCAUUUUUGGUAAGCAAGUCUUCCUGAAGCAAGCAGAGUCCUUUCAGCCACAAGUCUUAAUAGUUUGUGUGAGUGUUAAUCUGCUUCUCAUAGAGUCACCAUGAAACACACCUUAGACAGAAUAAUACAAAGCUUUAACGAAGACCGCAGAAGAACUUCAUAUCUGAGUACCAUUUGCAAUCGAUUUACAAAUAAUGCCAGCAUCCUUAGCGACUUCUUCAGGCAAGGUUAUACUGGGGGUUUUUGAGGCUAAGCAGGUGAACUGGGAGUACCGCACACAGCAUGGCUUCCAGCCUGAAGUGACUGUAAAAUGCCAGUGAAUAGAGAGGCUCAAGGCUGAGUAAAGGAUCCUGCACACUCAACAGGCUCAUCCUUCUCUGCACCCGAGUUGUUCAUAGAGUCCCAGUUACAGAGCUUUCAGAAGGCGGAAUUCGUCCACAGCACACUAUUGAUGCCUAUCGAAUCUAAGGAAAUUAACUAAGAAGGGAAGAAAUAAUCUUCAUAGAAAAGGGAUUUGAGAACCCAGAAGAGGGUAUGGGCCUGGCAGUGUGCAUGCUGCAAACUAUGCACCAUCACUGGCCUAAAACGCACCUCUGUGUGCAUCAUUUACUCACGUUUAAAAAUCACCCUCUACUUGUUCUCCUGUGACCCUCAUUGGACUAUAUCCAGACAGCACUGAAAGUGAUAGCCAGAAAAAGUAGAAACAACCCAUGUGUUCAUCCACUGACGAAUGGAUCAAAACAUGUGGCGUGUCCAUCCAUACAAGGGGAUAUUACCCAGCAGUCAAAAGGAGCAAAGAACUGAUGUAUACCACACCAUGGCUGAUUCUCAACAGUAUGUUCAGUGAAAGAAACCAGUCACAAAAGCACAUGUACUGUAUGUCUAUUUAUAUGAACUGCUUGGAGGAGGCACCUAGUGGUUGCCAGGGGCUUGGGGUGGGGGUGGAGGGCAGGAAUGGGGAAUGCCUGCCCCCUCCAUGGGGUUUCUUUGUGGGGUGAUUAAAAUGUUCUAAAAUUG
rnacentral:lncRNA from 1 species